CGUAGGUACCGAGCGUUAUCCGGAUUUACUGGGUGUAAAGCGUGUGCAGGCGGUCGUGCAAGUCGGGCAUGAAAGCCCCUGGCUCAACUAGGGGAAGCUGUCUGAUACUGCAGGACUUGAGGGCUCGAGAGGGCGAUGGAAUUCCGCAUGUAGUGGUGAAAUGCGUAGAGAUGCGGAGGAACACCAGUGGCGAAAGCGGUCGCCUGGCGAGCCCCUGACGCUCAGACACGAAAGCUAGGGGAGCGAACGGGAUUAGAAACCCCGGUAGUCCACGCCGUAAACGAUGAUUACUAGGUGUGUGUGGUAUCGACCCCACACGUGCCGCAGCUAACGCAAUAAGUAAUCCGCCUGGGGAGUACGGCCGCAAGGUUG
rnacentral:rRNA from 1 species